rnacentral:rRNA from 1 species
GAACGCUGGCGGCGUGCUUAACACAUGCAAGUCGAACGCGAAAGGGGCUUCGGCUCCGAGUAGAGUGGCGCACGGGUGAGUAACGCGUGGAUGAUCUGCCCUGAUGUUGGGAAUAACAGUUGGAAACGGCUGCUAAUACCGAAUACGCUCCCCUUUCACCGAUGGGAGGAAAGACGGCCUCUGCUUGCAAGCUGUCGCAUGAGGAUGAGUCCGCGUCCCAUUAGCUAGUUGGUGAGGUAACGGCCCACCAAGGCGACGAUGGGUAGCCGAUUUGAGAGGAUGAUCGGCCACACUGGAACUGAAACACGGUCCAGACUCCUACGGGAGGCAGCAGUGGGGAAUAUUGCGCGAUGGGCGAAAGCCUGACGCAGCGACGCCGCGUGAGGGAUGAAAGGUCUUCGGAUCGUAAACCUCUGUCAGAAGGGAAGAAAGCAGCGGGUGCCAAUCAGCCUGCUGUUGACGGUACCUUCAAAGGAAGCACCGGCUAACUCCGUGCCAGCAGCGGC